rnacentral:rRNA from 1 species
ACGUUCGACACCUACGGUAGGCAGCAGUGGGGAAUAUUGGGCAAUGGGCGCAAGCCUGACCCAGCAACGCCGCGUGAAGGAAGAAGGCUUUCGGGUUGUAAACUUCUUUUAUUAAGGACGAAGCAAUGACGGUACUUAAUGAAUAAGCUCCGGCUAACUACGUGCCAGUAGCCGCGGUAAUCUGAGCGGGCUGGCAAGGC